CCACUGUGGAAUGCUGCCCUUCAUAAAAGUGACCUUGUGCUUCGAUUCUGAAAGUGUCUUUUAAGAUUAGGUUGGACGCUAAUUCUCAAGAAGGACGCUGUUCUCUCCAGGUUGGUGUUCAUUUUGUACCUCUCAAAUCUCAAGCCUCAUAGGUGAGUAAAGUAACUGAAGACAGAGUGUGCUUCAGAAAUGAAAACAGCUUGAUCUUGAGGAAGUCUGCAGUUUCAAGGAACAAAACAAACUUCAAUCAUUUUAGGAAGGGAAAGUCACCAAAACAAAUGCAAUCUGUGGUUUUAAAGGGAAAGGACUGGCAGGUGUAGAUGAAACCGAGCUCCCUUCCUCAGAGGGCAGCACACUGUCCUCGGGAGAGAUGCGGAGUUAGCCGUGGUGACGUGCUUCUUCCCGAGGGGCCAGGAAUGAGGGAGCAGCCUAACUGGUGUGGAAUGCUUUGGUUUUCUGGUUUUGUUUGUUUGUUUUGUUGUUUGUUUUUUGUCUCCUUAAAACUUCAGAAGGUAAACCGCAAGACUGAGGAAGCUAAGCAACGCGUUGCUUAAUCCACACGUCAGAGGCUCCGGAAGUGGCCCCAAGUCUUGCAGAUUCAACAAAACAGUCCCCUUUCACCCUUCCAAGGUUGCCCCCUUGGUUCCCCCUCCCCCUUGGAAGUCUUCUGUUGGCUUCUGAAGUUAUGACCCUAAAUCAGACUGCUCUGGUUGGGACGAUUGGUCGGAGCGUGAUGCUCUCCAGCUGGGGACCAGGCAAAGUAGAGUAGCAGGAUAAUUAGCCUUUUACAGGAAAGCCUGCUGACCCUUGAUAUCACUGCAUUCUCCGAAGGCUUUGGAACCAGGCCCUUGGCAAGCUAACUACAGACGAGAGAACUGUCCUCCACAGUGAACUCUCUUCUGAUCCCGCUUGAGCUUGGCACAUAGCCUUGCGUGCGACUUCUUAGACAGAACCUCGGAUCUUACCAUUUUCUAAGGAAAUUGGUGAGUAAAGAGGUUAUCAGUGGUUGUCAGUCUUCUCUGAGAGGAUGGACCAGAAAUGAAAGGAAAAUGCUUCAGACUGCAUGAAGAAGGAGGCUGCUUUGUGUAGGAAAGGGCUAGCCUGCAGUCCCAGGACUUUGAAAGCUCUGUCUCAAAGUGGCGUCUCAGGCAAGCUGGAGAUCAAGUUUUGAGGUUUUUUUUCAUUAUCAUGCAAGAGCACUUCUACUGCCUUCUGCCUCCAGCACAUUUUUACACUUAAAAGCAAAUUCAAAUUCUUUGAAGAUUAUAAAAAAGAGAAAGAAAGAAAAAAAAUCUUAAUGCUAAACAAAAUUUAGUCUCACUAGGAAAGUGGUUGAUAAAUAAUACACUCCUACUGCGAAUAUAUUUUCAUACUGUUAAAUAUUUAUUUAUUAAGAAGUAAUAUGUUUCUGAAUACAUCUCUUUUGAUAAUCUCCCCAGUAUGGGAAGUAUGCGCUCGUGUAUACACACACACACACACACACACACACACACACACACACACACACACACACACACACACACACACACUAGAAUGAAUGCUUUGUAGGUAAGAGGAAAAAAAUUUCUCCGACAGGUUCUUGAGGAAAAUGGCUGAGAAUGCCAGCUGCUUUGCUUUAUCUCAAACAGGUUUAUAUCCUCCAAUAAUCUACCCAAAGAGGUGUGUGUGUGUGUGUGUGUGUGUGUGUGUGUGUGUGUGUGGUGUGCUUAGGCUGAACUACGUUUCUGACAAUUCCUGUAUGUCUCUGAGUAGAGUGAACUAUCAAGAAAGGCUUUAAUGAGGGACAGUGAGGGAGCCACGAAACACUAGUUUUUAGCUCCCUCAGGAUUUUCUGCUGGCUGGGCUCUCCACUGUGAGGCAGGUCCCUGACUUGAAGGAAAUCUGACAGAGAGAUAGCUAUUUGUCUCCUUAGCUUCUUCUUCUUCUUGGUUCCUUCCCUGAUGAGUACACAGUAACCUUUGCUGUGGAAAGAAAAAGCUGGUAAGAGAUUUGUAUGACAAAGGGCGGGAAGCUAAUCGCAGAGAUAUCUAAGUGUUUGGCAAGGGGCUUGUACCUGAGGCUUGAUGUGCAACCUGCAUCAUGACUGGGACCCAGGGAUUCCAAGUCCAGAGUACGACACAGGCAGUAGAGCGUAUGAUCGAGAAGAUGCAGAGGCUCUUACGCUGCCAGUUUUGGAGCAGCUUGACGAUGAUGACUCUUUUGUGAGAUACCUUUUUGUCUUGCUACUGGGCCACAGUUGAGACUGAGUCCUUAGGAAAGGAUCACCGAGUCACAGUGUGACCUCAGCUAACCCGACUAGUGUUUUCUGUCUUUAGAGUUCAGUCCUCAUUGUAGCGCUGAGAGGUUAAGUGCAAGCAGGCUUGGCCUUGAGCGUGUGGGAAGGCAGUAUAUGCUGCACGAACAAGGAGCUUAUAUACCCAGGUCCUACUUGUAUUGAUUUGAUCUUUCCCUCAGCCUAUGCCAGUGAGCCUCAUGGGGGAGCUUAAAUGAAAGAGGAAUGAGAAAUCCAAGAAAUCCAACACCAGGUUACAGACAUCACUCUAAACCAGACAGCUAAAACUAAAAUACAUGCUAGAGCCCACUCUCUGUUGGGCCUGGAUGUCAGUGGUUAGGGCAAACCUUCCCAGUGUGGGAGACUUUAAAUUCAAUAUUGAUUAUUCCUUUUGCAAGAAAGGAACAUGCUAGUGCAUAGAAGCAUAAAUAUAUAGCAACUCAUGUCCCAGGGAUUAGAAGGAACAUGAUUUUAAAACUAUAGAAAAGGAAAUCUGACAGAGAGACAGCUAUUUGUGUACUUGUGUUCCGCAACAGCUGGAAUUGGCUUAAAUAUUCAUGUUUUGUGAAAAUUCCCCAUGAAGGAGGGUUUUAACUGUCAAAUGGAUCCGUUUACCCAUUGCUUGUCUCAGUCAGCUUUUCCCCAGCAACUGCUGUCAAUCAUGACAAUGAUGGUCGUGGAAAAGAUGGACGUUACUUACACCUGGUCACAGCAACGUGGACCUCUACAUGCUAUGACCUAUCUAGCCUUACUUUCUGCCAUUGCCUAGUCUUCAAAGAGCCAACAACAAGCCCCUGUUAUGGCACCAUAUCAAGCUCCUAGCUAGACAUCUAUUAGCAGAUUAAUUUACGCCAGAUCAUUUUCCUCAUGGUAGUGGCACAUGUUUUCUCUUACUAGAACAGAGACUCACUGUGAAUACAUACUUGACUCCCCUACGCACAGUAUUUCUGCUAACUGCACCUUCAGGCCCAAAUACACAAUGGUUUUCCUACAGUAUCACUUGUGACCUGGACUUCUUUCAUGGCAAAUGAGGUACAGAAAUGGGUUUAUGCCAACUGUUGAUCUUACUGUGGUCUUCAUUAGCUUGAUAGAUUGACAGAAUGUUCUUUUGAAGGCCCACUUACUGUUCUUUGAGAUGCGAAGUUUGACCUAGGUCAGCAUGUAAUUCAUAGUUCUCUUUCUCCUGUAGUAGGAUUUAGGAGUCAGGAAAUCAUAUCUCACUACUACAACUAGUGAUCUACUGAGCGCAACUCAGUAUUAGCAUUCCCGAGGCAUCAGGCUCUCAUGGACUAGGGGUAUUAGUUUUAGAAAGAGGAAGGCUUCAGUCCAAAACAUGAGUUGAUUGAGCUAGGGUGUCCCAGGGUUUCUUGAUUCAUGACAUCAAAUCCACAGACAAAAGGGGAGCGGUUUUAAGGAAACCGUAUCUACAUGAGAAAGUAAAGGCAAGCCUGUGCUAAGGAACUGGAGAUCUUAGAGGUUGCCCCCAGUCCUCUCUUAACUGCAAUUAAAGGCAAUAGGAGACCAUUACUCAAUUAGCAGAACUGCUAAUGACCCAGACUGUCUGAGAAAAAAGAUUUGGUUCACAUCAUUACAUAGGGAUUCACCACCAACUCAAGUGUUCACUGGGAGGGAAAUGAAUAAGGGAGACUAUAACAGUUCAUCUGUGGUCAUGUGAUUAUGCAGACAUAAAUAAUAAUUAUGGGUCUUUUCAUUUUGUUAUGGUUGUCUAUGUAUAUGUAAUUAAGCGAGUAUGCAUGUCCCCUCUAUUAUCUUUGUACGUCUUCUCACUCAUCUCCUUGUCAUGUGAUGUGUAAUAGCUUAAUUUGUAUAGGAUAGAAUGGCUACUAAAGGGGAAGUGCACAUUAGCCGGUGAUAGGGUAACAUCUUCCAGAGUCAAGAAAAAGAGCCCUAGAGUCCCUUCUGGAGGAAAGUUGUGUGUGAUUUUUGGUUGUAUUUGGGAGACAUAUCAUGGUGGGUGGGGACAGCUGCACGACCUUAACAUGGAAUUGAAUGCUACACAAGGAGAGAUAGAGUUCAGACUGGCAAGGUGCGGCUAUUUAGUGGGCAAACAUGACUAGGCUGAAUUCUGUCUCCCAGAAUCCCCUUUCCUGUGUUUUUCUGGGUAGGUGGGCCAUGGUGUGAAUCCUGGACAAGAACUGGAGGCAGAACCAAGCGGCAGUUACUUUAGAGCUCAGAAUGCUGUCUUUCGUUGCUUGCUCAUCUCUUGUAUGAAGCAGCAGCUAGACCUGCCAUCCUCUGGAUGAUCCUCUGGAAGCUUCUAGAACUUUCCAGCCAGGUCUGAGUGUGUGUGUGUGUGUGUGUGUGUGUGUGUGUGUGUGUGUGUGUGUAGGGCACUGCUCCUGUAGAACACCAAAUAGUCAAUAUAAAAAUCAUUAAGAGGAAAUGACAGAUUUUUGUCUUUAUGAGUUCCAAAUGUAUCCUAUGUUCAUCCAGUCUUUCCUUCUUUAUAUUCGUUUUCUUUUACACAAAAUAUGCCCAUAGACUUCAAUCUCAAUCAGCAGAUGUGAAGACAAUAGCCUCACAGAGGUGGUUUACUACACCCCAUAAUUUUGGAAGGUUAAAUCCUUCACCUACAUGAUAGGCACGCACACACACACACACACACACACACACACACACACACACAAAUACACACGCACAUGUCUACCAUUUUUUGCUUCCUUUAUUAAAACAUGAUAGUUUUUAACUUUAAAAUAUUAUAUCCUUUUACAUCAUUUCUUCCCUUUCUUCUCUCUAACCCUUACCACAUUCUUUCCUGUCAACUCUCAUGCCUCCCCCAAUUCUUUCCUAAAUUCAUUAUUUUUUUAUUAUUAUUGUCCUUUGUAUAUGCAUAAUGAUUUUAUGUGCUUGAGGUCUUUUUCUGCUUGUGUGCCUAUUACCAUACAUGUGUCUGGACUAGAGUAACAUAGUUGUAAGGCGCCAUAUGAGUGCUGGGUUCUCUGGAAGAGCUGCCAGUGUUCUUCCCCACUAAGCAAUCUCUUCAGUCCUGAAAGAGUCUUUGUAGAGCAAAGCCUUGUGGAAGUAUGAGCUAUAUAGUAUAAACAGUAUUUACUUGGGUCAUACCAUUCAAAUGUUGAUGUAAACUGAUUUCUAAGAAGCAACCAGAUUAUCAGAAGGGAUAUGUUCGGAACAUUUCCUUGUAGCAGGAAGAUCUAGAAAUACAAUUGUUAGAUCAGCCUCACUGUGGAGAGGAGUAUGCUUCUCUGGAAAGGUCUUCUGAAGGUCUGAUUCCUCCACAUCAAACAGGAACUAUCUCCAGUGGAGUAGAGCUAGGCAGCACUGUCUCCAGGGGUUACCUAGGCAACCCAGGACCCAGCCUUCUCCAGUAAGUUCUGAGUGGGAUAUCUGAGGGAGACACUGAAUGGCACCAGCCUGAAUAACAUUCUUGUUCAUUUCCUUUACAGGACAAGUAUGUGAAUGCCAAAGUCCCCAGUCUGUCCUUUCACUGGCUUCUCUUAGGCCUGGACUGAUUGCAUGUUGCCCAGAAUAGCCAGUAAUGAGAGGUUAUUCUACAGGGUCUCCAACAGUGAGACUCAUAGAAAGCAACAUAAUGCAGGGGGCAUUUGAUUGCCCAUCAACAAUCUAAAUUUUUAACAAAGCUCUGUGGCACAUUAGAUACGUGACUAUAGAUAAAUGUGAUUCUUGUUGUAUCUUAUCUCAUCUGUAACUAAAGGAGCUGAUCAAUGUGAUAUUGAAAAUCUCUGGAUUCUGUGCAUCUAAGGGUAGACCAAUAAAAGCACCAAUAAUUAGCAUGCGCAGUUAUGCCAAGAAGGACAUACAGUGCCUGGGUUACUAUGUUAGGCACAGCCAUCCGAGCACCCACCCAGUCACUAGCACAUGAACCUCCAUUGGUUAUCAUGUUCGAUGCUACAACAGCAGCACCCACUCUCUCAUCCAAUCAUCAGUCAUAUGACAAGAUAGUUCCUGACACUGGAAAGAGAAAGAUGAGUCAAAAUCGAAUCCUCCUGCUAUUGCCCGUAGCUCACUAAGGGGAGGUAAAUAUAUUCGUAACUAAUGGCGAUAUGUGGAAAUUUCAGGAUGUUCAGAACAAAGAAGGUGUUGGAUGAUAUUGUUAUCCUGUGAACCCUGGACCAAGUUACGGGUAGACAAGUGGGGAAGUCAUGGUCACCCUUACUCCCUGUCAUGCAUUAGUACUGACAGUUAUGGGAUUCUUGUGUGUCACAAGUGCCAGCAGGCCUUGAGGAGCAGGGAGAAGGAAAGGGAGAGAACAAAACCCUGUUCUCUACACAGCCAACCACGUAACCAUCAUGGCUUCUUUACUGAAAGACAACCAUAAACUUUCUGGAAAAAAGGAGACAUUACCUAAGAUUGGCCCGCUUUAACUAGCCCAAUGUUAUGAAUUUACAUUUUUUUCAUUAUAAUUGUGGUGUUUUAAAACUGGAGGUUCGUCCUUGUUGGACAAAUAGGCAUUCUUGAGGUUAUGUCACGCAAGCUAAACAUACUCACAAAUAUGCAUGUAAACCCCUCAGUUACAGGUUUCAAUCCUUACACUUCUAUUUUCAAAACACUUUCUGAGGCUUCGCAGUUUUGUCAAUAAUCAACAGCAAAGUAAACAGCUGUGUGGGUGGGGGCGUGCUAAGGAAAAAGAACACUUUCUGCCCACAAAGUUACUCUGGGUAUCACUUCUCUCUCCUUCUCCCUGGCUUGUAUAAUUGAAGAUACUAGUAAGUAAACAGCUCGUGUUCGGAUUUUAAGUGAUGCGUCGCUCACCACUGGGGAAAGCCAUGCCAAGCGUCCCCUCCUCUGGACUUCCAUGGAGCCGACAAGGCGGGGCCUGUAGCUGGCUGACUUCCCAGUACCACCCACCACCUCCAACUCCAGAGAUGCCAUCAGAUCCCACCCAAAGGAGCCAGUGGUCCCCAAGAAACAAUGAGCCAUUCUUACAAGACACAACCGGAGCUCUGUUGCUGUUGUACAGGAAGGUCGGAUAAGAUCUCCCAGCCCCAGCAUUCCUUUGUGUCAGCAGCCACAAGUGGGAUGUUCCUUCUAUGGGCCUCGCAGGGCGAGAGGAAGCAAGCUUCGAAACACAAUGUUCAUUGAAAUCUGCUUUCAUCUGAGGAAUCCCCAAGUGGCUUCUGCUUCGAGGUGCAUUCUGUCUGCAGCUGAGCCCUCUUGAUGCAUUUCCGUUGUUUGUUCUGGAGGGAAGGCAGCACCUUCAUAAGACUAGGUAAAGGGCAUCCCAUUGUGCUGGAUAAGGCAUUAUGUGUCAGGAUGUCUCCAGUGAGUCUGGAGCCUAGAAGGUGCAAUAAAAAUAAAAUAAAAUAAAAAAAAAAA